AAAAAGUUUCACUUCCAAAGACAGGCCCUACCUAAACAGCGAAAUACCCUUUGAGUGUGAUGUGCAAUGCAGAUGCUGACAUAAGCAUUUGCAUUAAUUUUUGCUUUUCUUCAUUUCUUCCCAGGAAAUUGUGCACUCUCCUAAAACUAUCACAAAAAAGCAGUACACUCAGGUUUUCUUACCCUUCAUCUGAAGUGGCUGUUGUUAAUUCACUAGGCUGCUGUAGGCGGCAACAGUAGCUAACACAGACUGUGCCAUAGUCAUUUCACUUUGCUUGACUUGUUUCUUUGGCAGAAUAAGAGAACUGUUGUGAGUGGGAAGAGAGGAGAUUGUGCGCUGAGAGGGAAGGAAGUUUUAUGUUUGCAUCCAUCUGUGCAAGUAUUUCAACAUAGCUUUUUGCAGCAUGCUGUCCCCUUACAGCAGGGGUUCUCAAACUGGGGAUUGGGACCCUUCAGGGGAUCGCAAAGUUAUUACAUGGGGGGUUGCGAGCUGUCAACCUCCACCCCAAAACCCCCUUUGCAUCCAGCAUUUAUAAUGGUGUUAAAUAUAUUUAGAAGUGUUUUUAAUUUAUAAGGGGGGGUUUCACUCAGAGGCUACCUAUGUGAAAGGGGUCACCAGUACAAAAGUUUGAGAACCACUGCCUUACAGUAAAUGCAACGACAUGCAGAAUGUAGGAUGCCAUGGCUAGACAUGGGUGAUGCUCAAAAUGCCUUGAAGUUCCAGAGUGAUAAUCAAGAUUUGGGUUCUUAUCUGGGCAUCUUCAGUCUUGACAUAGGGCAGGGAAUAUCGUCUGAAGAGGUGUUUUUGAGUGAUUCCCAACAUUUCCUAGUCUUGAGGAUAACUCUUCUUUCAAAAAUCCACUUAAUUAUGUAUAAGACCAAAUGUAUUCUCAAAAUUACUCUAGCUGUUAUUUAAAAUUAUUAUUUAAUGAAGUAUUGAACACUUAAAUGGCAGUGUCCAGUGUUGUGUCCCAGACUACUGGGAAUUCCUAAUUUUAAAAUUUGAUCGCAUUGGUUUGUAGUUAGGAGUAUUGUUAAUCCUAUUUGUAUGGCAUUGGUCUCCAUCAGUGCUUCCUGAACUCCCAAAGUCCUGUCCCAGCAUGCACUGGAGCAAGUGUAAACCAGGAUGGGUAUUCAGGAGGGACACUCUCUAGUUGUUACAAAGUCCUGAGGUAGCAUCUUGACCUCUCUAAAGUCAAUGAGGCUAAGAUUUCACCCCAGUCAGGAAUCCCCAGAUGAUUACAUUUUACAUCUUCAAAGCACCUUGCAAACAUUGACUAACCCUCACAAGCUCUUUUCAAAUAGACAGGAAUUCCCAGAACCAGUCCUAGAUAUUUUGGCAACAGGCAGAUUAGAGGUACAGAAAUGAAAUGCAGAGGUUAAGUGAUUUACCCAAGGCCACAACUGGAGGAACUAUAUGAACCAGGAUUAGGAUUAGCCAGACAUUCAUUGUAUUCAGUUCUAUUCUCAGACCACUGAACCAUGCAUUUUUCUGUUAUUGUUAUUAUUUGUAUUCUGGUAGCACCUGGAAGCCCCAGUUGAGAUCAGGAUCCGAUUGUGCUAGACUCUAUGUUAAUACCUAGUAGGAAGCAAUCCCAGUGUUUCUGUUUCUAGUCCAUUCUGAAUUCAGGAAGUAAAUGGAGAUGUGUAAUAGGUUCCUUAUAACAUCCCAUUAUAAUAGGUGCUCUGGAAACAACUGACUGCUUGGGGAUCUAAGGGGCAAAGGCUCAGAGGUGCCAGUACACUGGGGGCUUGUUUGUGUCCUACAAAAAAAUGCCAACAGUCACAUCUCUGUGCAUAACUUUUAAAUAACUGCACUUCUGCCUCUCUUUCUAACUUGAAGGGGGCAGAGAUCAGGACAUGUGGCUUUGCUGCUUACAUCCCUGCCUGUCAAGAGAAGCAGGCAAGGAAGAAAAUAACUUUCCCCGCUUGAAAUCCUUUUCAUGUGAUGUUUAUAAGAUCUCUAUAAGUGAAAAUCUUUGCCAUAAAGGAGAGGCAUCCAAUACUGGCUAGUGCUAGAGGCAGGAUGUCAGACUAAAUCAGCCUCUCCUCUCCUAUUUUUACUAUGGUGGUGGUAGCGAUGAUAAUGGAAAAGGGAAAUAAUGAUAUUCACAUAUUGUCCAGCAUAACCCGUAUAUGCCCUAGGCAAGAGGGUGAAUACAAUUCUUUAGGAUUAAAUUAGACUGGACAGUGGUCUGACCUGAGAUGGAAAAUCCUAUGAUUAUUUAAAAAAAUUCUCCCAUCUCUGACUCCGUAAGAAGCGUUAUUCUCUAAUCUUGUGUAGGGGGCCAGAAGCUUCAAGGUGACCUUGCUGAACAAAGACCGCCAGCUGAAAGAAUAACACCCAUUUACCUGCAGUGUUGAACUAGACUCUUCAGAGAGAGAGAAGACUGAAAAAAUGAAGCAAAUAUGGUGCCAAAAGAAUUGUAAAUCGCACCCGGCAGGGUCUCAGAAUGUCAACAAUGGAAAGCUUUACUGGAUAUAUGGGCUGCCAGUUCACAUCAAUAGAACUAUUGGGAUAUUCAAGAGGUUCAAAGAACGCUUCACUGCAAAUCUGCAUCAAAUGUACCUCAGUGGUGACACCUCCUUAAAAGGCUAAUCCAGCUGACCAAAUGAAGAAGAUAUUUUACCAUCACGCAUCACGUGAAAGAUCCAUAUCAAACUAGAACGGGUAAAGCCCUAGCAAAUAUACUAAAGGACACAAUCCUGCACUGGCCAGGGAGAUACAGAAGAUUACCAAAUUGGUCAUUUCCACUUUCCAUUUCUGAAGCACAUGGGCCUGAUUCUGCUCCCACUUACAUGGGUAUUACCUGUGUCAUUCCACCGACAUCCAGGGAUUACUCCCAAAUGACACCAAGGCGAGAGGAAGAAUGGUCUUGUGGGAAAGGCUAUAGUCUAGCAUUUAGGAGGUGGAGGUUCAAUUUCUCAUUCUGCCACAGCUGUCCUGUGUGAACAAAUCAUUUAUCCCUCUGAGCCUCAGUUCCCCAUCUGUAAAAUGAGGACCAUAAACUCCCUUUCUCACGCCCUUUCUCUAUUAGAGCAUAAGCUCUUUGGGGGCAGGGACUGUCUCUUGCCCUGUGUUUGCAUAAUGCUUAGCACCCUGAAACGCUGCUCGUGGUUGGAGCUACUAUGAUACAAAUAAUAAUUAUCAGAAUCAGGCCCCAUGAUUCCU